CCUACGGGAGGCAGCAGUGAGGAAUAUUGGUCAAUGGGCGGAAGCCUGAACCAGCCAAGUAGCGUGCGGGAUGAAGGCCCUACGGGUCGUAAACCGCUUUUGCACGGGGAUAACACCCUCCACUUGUGGAGGUCUGCAGGUACCGUGCGAAUAAGGGCCGGCUAAUUCCGUGCCAGCAGCCGCGGUAAUACGGAGGGCCCGAGCGUUCUCCGGAUUUAUUGGGGUUAAAGGGUCGGUAGGCGGGCGUUAAAGUUAGCUGGAAAAGCGCGCGGCUCAACCGCGCCCCGCAGUUGACACUGGACUCCUUGAGAGCACAACAGGCAGGCGGAAUUCGUGGUGUAGCGGUGAAAUGCAUAGAUAUCA
rnacentral:rRNA from 1 species